rnacentral:ncRNA from 25 species
AACACUUGAGGAUAGAAAAGGCAGCUAUCGCCCAUGUAGGAAAUGUAGGAAAGGUCGCCCUACCAAGUGUU